AGACGGCCUUGGUGGAGAAGGGUGAUUUCUCACCGGGGACCAGCAGCAGAAGCACUAAAGCUUAUUCACGGCGGGGUCCGAUAUCUACAGAAAGCCAUCAUGAAAUUAGAUUACGAACAGACUGAUUCUGCUCUACGUUUAGGAUUUGUUUGCCUGUACGAAAAUAAAGAAUCUUAACCUGCAACCGUCACCGUCUCCACCACCUGACACUGCCAACAGAAUUAUGACAUGGAUGAACAAAGAGACCCAAAUCCUGGAGCCAAACAUUACAAGAUGUUAUGAUCACACUGGAGCUGAUGAAAACUGAUGAACAACAGAGAUUUAAGGAUGCUGAUAUGCUUCAAAGUUAUAUUUCCCAUCCCUGUUUUUCUCUCCUUGGGAUAAUAUUAAUAGCCUUUUUGGCAGGUCAAGCUUUUUUGGCCUGAUAUACUAUAAAUACUUACUUCAAAGUGCUCUUGAAUACUUAAUUCUGAUUGGUCGGAAGAUGUUGAUUAAUAUUCUGUAACAGCAGCUCUGACUGUGGUUCUGUCUGCCAGGUAUAUAUUAAUGUGUUCAUUCUAAUAUGUUAUUUCUACAGUAACACCUUAUAUAGGACUUUGUAGGACGAA